rnacentral:tRNA from 1 species
UCAUAACUCAGCGGUAGAGCACUCCUAUGGUAAGGCGUAAACCCUCGGUUCAAAUCCGACAAGGGACU